rnacentral:misc_RNA from 1 species
UGUCCCGGUUUGUUGGAUCCCUGUCUCGGCAGCGACAACUGCUUGGUCAUGCUUGUUCAUUUUGUCCGAGAGCUUUAAAUUUUGCCUUUGGUGUGCUUGGUCCCCUGUGCGACAUACCUAUUAUGAUGGAAUCCUGGAGUCCCAUGGUCCCUUAUUUGUCUCGCGCUCUUUAUGUUGUGCGUGACUGACAAUGAAUCUAACAUGGUAUUCCGCCCUUUCAUUUCCAUUUGGUCUUGUAAGCAUCGGAUGCCCWUGUGUUGCCAGAUAUCUUGAAUGCGGAACCACUAAUCGGUUAUGGUCUAGGCCCAUACUUUUCCGAGAAAAAUGUCCCUUACGAAAGUUCGUUGUGCCUUGUGUUGACUCAAGGAUGCUAAUGUAUCUUUUGAUCAUGCUAGGCCUUCGGCUAGAAGGAAUGC